UCUAUCUAUCCCUAUUACUAAAUCACCAAAGUUUCAGUCUGCCGCAGCAAUCUUCUGCCUCCUCGUCCGCCUCCGUUCCGUGAAGAAAAAAUAAAAUCUUUUUAGAGUUUUCAAUACAAAAUCUUAAAUACACAUCAAAUAAAAAAACUGUAAGGGCCUAGGUGCAAAACCUCCUCUACUUCCGUCCGAAGCGGCAUCCGAACUGGUGGAACCGUUCCCCUAAUGCAAAAUCUUUUGUGCACAUCAAAUAAGAAAGUGUUUGCCCUAUUAGUUUAUUUUUUUUAUUUUUUACGGUUGAAAAUUGAUAAAUACGUAGUAAUUCAUAGAAAAAUUUAAAAAUUAUAAAACAAAUUUUGUUCAGCUCCACAUAUAUUUUUUAUUUUUUACGGUUGAAAAUUGAUAAAUACGUAGUAAUUCAUAGAAAAAUUUAAAAAUUAUAAAACAAAUUUUGUUCAGCUCCACAUAUAUAGAUCCAUGCAGUAAACAAAAAAUCAUAAAUUUUAGUAAACUUUUUUGCUGG
rnacentral:lncRNA from 1 species